GAGAGUAUAGCUCAGUGCUAGAGCACAUGCUUAGCAUGCACAAGGUCCUGGGUUCAAUCCCCAGUUCCUCCA
rnacentral:tRNA from 1 species